rfam:Felis catus isolate Cinnamon breed Abyssinian chromosome A3, whole genome shotgun sequence.
UGGUCAAUGAUGACAUGACCACCGCACAAUCUGAGUUCUAGGAACCAGGUGAUGGAGUGUGUGCUGAGAGCUGACUGUGAGACUU